UGGGGAAUUUUGGACAAUGGGCGAAAGCCUGAUCCAGCAAUGCCGCGUGUGUGAAGAAGGCCUUCGGGUUGUAAAGCACUUUUGUCCGGAAAGAAAUCCUCUGGGUUAAUACCUCGGGGGGAUGACGGUACCGGAAGAAUAAGCACCGGCUAACUACGUGCCAGCAGCCGCGGUAAUACGUAGGGUGCAAGCGUUAAUCGGAAUUACUGGGCGUAAAGCGUGCGCAGGCGGUUUUGUAAGACGGAUGUGAAAUCCCCGGGCUUAACCUGGGAACUGCAUUCGUGACUGCAAGGCUAGAGUAUGGCAGAGGGGGGUUAGAAUUCCACGUGUAGCAGUGAAAUGCGUAGAGAUGUGGAGGAAUACCGAUGGCGAAGGCAGCCCCCUGGGCCAAUACUGACGCUCAUGCACGAAAGCGUGGGGAGCAAACAGGAUUAGAUACCCUGGUAGUCCACGCCCUAAAACGAUGUCAACUAGUUGUUGGGGAUUCAUUUCCUUAGUAACGUAGCUAACGCGUGAAGUUGACCGCCUGGGGAGUACGGUCGCAAGAUUAAAA
rnacentral:rRNA from 1 species